UCUGAUGCUGCACUUGUUGUCUGUCGGUAGACGCGCCCAUCGCGUCUUCGUGCAUUCUUCAAGACACUGUAGGAAAUCUUCCAGAGCUGACUGAAAGUCAUCAGCAUUUCGACACGCUGAACCGACAGAAACGUGUUUUUGUGUCACGAUAUCACCACCGUCACGAGCGGGACUCGUCAGUGUCGUCACUGUCGUGCGCGCGCCUGCAGCUGUGCGCGUGUUGGGAUCGCCGUGAGUUUGCGACGCUCUAAUUCGCCUCACACAUGAAUCGUAUCCGUAGAAACGGAAUGCGAAUUAGAAAGAUGCUCGGGGCGGCUCCAUCGCGCUGUUCGUGAUUCGUGUGACCGAUGAAGGGUUCGUCUGCCGUUUCGACGGAGACGAUGAAGCGGCGCUCAGUCGGUGUGUGUGAACGGACAGACUGGUGAGAGAGCGACGUGGAGUGUCUGCGGAUGGUCUUCUCAUGCUGCUCUGUCUGCACCGUGUUUUUGUCUCAGACUGCAGCUCACCAGAGACGGAGCGAACUCACGGCGAUUGCGCUUCCCUCGUUCGCUGAUCGAUCAGUCAUGACCGGGCAGAGCGCCUGCGCGCCGGAGGAGGGCGCCAUACGCAUCAACGUGGGGGGAUUCAGGCGCCGGCUGCUGUCCAAGCGACUCUCUCGCUUCCCCGAGACCAGGCUCGCGCGCUUGCUGAGGUGUCGGUCCAAAGAGUCCAUCCUGGAACUGUGCGACGACUACGACGACUCCGAGAACGAGUUCUACUUCGACCGCAAUCCGACGCUCUUCCCUUACGUUCUGCACUUCUACAACACGGGAAGGCUGCACGUCAUGGAUGAGCUCUGCAUCUUUUCCUUCAGUCAGGAGAUCGAGUACUGGGGCAUCGACGAGCUGUUCAUCGACUCGUGCUGCAGCGGCACCUACCACUGCCGCAAGAUGGAGCCCGAGGAGACGGACUGGGACGACAAGAGCGAGGAGAGCAGCACGACGUCGUCUUUCGACGAGAUCCUGGAGUUCUACAACGACGCGGGUAAAUUUGACAAGCAGCCGCUGGGAAGCGUCCGCCGGAGAAUCUGGCUGAUGUUGGACAAUCCCGGCUAUUCGAUCCCCAGCCGGCUCGUCAGUAUCUUCUCCGUCGUGGUGGUGCUGGGCUCCAUAGCCACCAUGUGCAUGAACAGCAUGAGCGAGUUCACGCUCCCGGACGCCGACGGCAGCGGGCCCCGCGAGGACCCUCGCUUCGAGGCCGUGGAGCGCUUCGGAAUCGGGUGGUUCACGUUCGAGCUGCUGGCCAGAUUCGCCGUGGCGCCGGACCUUCUCCGUUUCUUCGAACACCCGCUCAACCUGAUCGACCUGGUGUCCAUCCUGCCUUUUUAUCUCACGCUGGUCAUCAACCUGGUGGCGGAGAGCAGCCCGGCGCUGGCCAACCUGGGCCGGGUGGCUCAGGUGCUGAGACUGAUGAGGAUCUUCCGCAUCCUGAAGCUGGCGCGUCACUCCACGGGCCUGCGCUCCCUGGGCGCCACGCUCAAAAACAGCUAUAAGGAGAUCGGCCUGCUGCUGCUGUAUUUGGCCGUCGGAGUGUCCUUCUUCUCCGUCAUGGCCUACACGGUCGAGAAGGAGGACAACGAGGGCUUGAACACCAUCCCGGCCAGCUGGUGGUGGGCGACGGUCAGCAUGACCACCGUGGGAUACGGGGACGUGGUUCCCGGCUCCGCGGCGGGCAAACUGACGGCCUCGGCCUGCAUACUCGCCGGAAUAUUGGUCGUCGUGCUUCCGAUCACUUUGAUAUUUAACAAAUUCUCUCUGUUUUAUAAGAGACAGAAACAGCUGGAGGUCGUCAUGCGGAGCUGCGACUUCGACGGGGGAAUAAAGGAGGCUCCGUCUGUGAAUCUGAGGAAUUAUUACGCUCAUAAAGUCAAGACACUGAUGGCCAGCCUGUCCAACAUGAGCCGCAGUUCACCCAGCGAUCACAGUUUAAACGUGUCUCUGCAUUAGACGCUAAGAAGAAUCUAACGAAAACCAUCGUUUAAAUCAUGGCAAUUACAGGGAACUUGAGCACAUUGUCUGGAUGCAUUACAAGUCUUCACCGCCG